AUUGAACGCUGGCGGCAUGCCUUACACAUGCAAGUCGAACGGCAGCACGGGUGCUUGCACCUGGUGGCGAGUGGCGAACGGGUGAGUAAUAUAUCGGAACGUACCUUAUUGUGGGGGAUAACGCAGCGAAAGCUGUGCUAAUACCGCAUAAUCCCUAAGGGGGAAAGCGGGGGACCGUAAGGCCUCGCGCAAUUAGAGCGGCCGAUACCUGAUUAGCUAGUUGGUGAGGUAAAGGCUCACCAAGGCAACGAUCAGUAGCUGGUCUGAGAGGACGAUCAGCCACACUGGGACUGAGACACGGCCCAGACUCCUACGGGAGGCAGCAGUGGGGAAUUUUGGACAAUGGGGGCAACCCUGAUCCAGCAAUGCCGCGUGAGUGAAGAAGGCCUUCGGGUUGUAAAGCUCUUUUGUCAGGGAAGAAACAGCAGCUCUAACACAGUUUGCGAAUGACGGUACCUGAAGAAUAAGCACCGGCUAACUACGUGCCAGCCGCCGCAGUAAGAC
rnacentral:rRNA from 1 species